rnacentral:tRNA from 1 species
GCCUGGGUGGCUUAGCGGUUGAGCGUCUGACUUUGACUCAGGGCGUGAUCCCGGGGUCUGGGAUCGAGUCCUACAUCAGGCU